CUAUGAAGCUCCACCAUGGAAUGCAUCCUGACCUUUAGAGAGGGCAGAUGGGACGGAACCAUUAUUUAACUUCCACUGCACUAACUUGUGUCUUACUUCCUAUGAGACCUCAGAGAAGAAGGGACUCCGCGGUAGCAGACAAGCGAAGCCUGAUGUCCAGAAAGUUUGAGAAAGGCAAGAGGCUGCAUUUCAGUUGCCAUUGGGAAAGUCUAAAGGGUUUUGCGACGGACGUAAGUCCAGGUGUGUGGAUCAGGAGUCAGAGACACAGGCCAGGGUGCUCCCGGGCUGGAGAAGAUGAAAAUUCUAGGCUGGACAAGCAAAAAGAAGACAGAAUCUCGCUCUUAGGGAACCUGUGGUGACUGCCAGGUCUCAAGAAAGCAUAUUCUCAGAAUUGAGCUACAAGGUAAGGGCCUGGUUAAAAACACAGCCAAGUUGCCAGUUCCAGGAGGAAAGUUCAUUGUCAAAGUUGGAGGUCAGACCUAAGUUCACGUUCCCAGGUGAGCUGUUGAAUUUGAGACUCUCAAAUUCUUUCUGAGAAAGGUCAGUGUUAGUCCAGGAAGCCGGCUGCCAUACUGGGCCAAUGAAGCAGUGACAGCAGGGGUGGAGGAACCGUGCGGAGCCCAGCACAUCCUUACAGAUGGGGAGGCUCCAGGCUGAUUUUGAGGGCAUCAGCGGGGGAAAUGGGGAGCAGGGGUGUCUGUUCAACCCUUUAAUUGCAAGACGACCAUUCAAUGUGGGGAAAUUUAAUCCAACUACCUAGUCGUGCCUUUUUUUCCCUUUGCAAGAUUUCUUAAAGAGAGAGAGAGAAGACAGGUGAGAGAUUUAAACUUUCAGUGUGGCUUUCUAUCAUAUUCUCAAGAAGCUAGUGGGCUAUUUUAGAUACCUCAUAUAAGGGGAAUCAUGCAGUGUUUGUCCUUCUGUGACUAUCUUAUCUCACUCAGCAUAAUGUCCUCAAGAUGCAUCCAUAUUCUCACAUAUGGUAGAAUUUCUUUCUUUUUCAAGGCUGAAUAAUAGGCCAUUGUGUGUAUAUAUCACAUUUUCUUUAUCAAUUCAUCCUUUGGGAGAGGGGGAAAUGGGGA
rnacentral:lncRNA from 1 species